ensembl:miRNA gmo-mir-11931-2 gmo-mir-11931-2
CGCGUCUGAGUGAACAACCCCCGUCUGUAGGGAGGCCUGGGUUACUGCUCAGACGACA